rnacentral:lncRNA from 1 species
GGGUACACCUGAGUCACUUGUAAUGCUUCUGGCUCCAUCCUUCAUACUCAUGGGAUGGUGCCAGGAAGGAAAACAAAAUGGGAGGAAGGUUUGCACUGAAGGUCACCACUUUCUCAACCCCGGCAGACAAUGGAGAGCAGGCAAGGGGCUUCUUGAGACCACAGAAUGAUCACCACCACCCUAUGGCUUCCUAGCAGAUUUCUGUGGACAGGUGACCAUUGGAGAUGGUAGGGCAGAAGGCAAGGAGGCCAAUGGUUCCAGCAACCACCUCCUGACUGCAGGUAAGAAGUAGACAAGAAGGAAGAGAGUGGGGAGCUAGCAGGACACCUGAGGUUGGUGGGACAGUGCUCCAUCUACCCUAAUGGCUCAGCCUCCACUAAGCAGGGCAAGGAUGAAGGCAUUUUGUUUGCUGUGAUGUUCAGAAGGUGCAUCUCCAUAGGAGAUAAGAGGGACAGUGCAAGGUAAGUGAUGGUUGGAGGCGAUUCAUCUGGGUUUCCUGCCCUCUAGUCCAGGCAUAGGCAAACUUGGCCCUCCAGAUGUUUUUUGGCCUACAACUCCCAUAAUCCCUAGCUAACAAGACGAGUGGUCAGGGAUGAUGGGACUUGUAGUCUCAAAACAUCUGGAGGCCGAGUUUGCCUAUGCCUGCUCUAGUCCACACCAGGGCAGGGAGGAUGCAUACCCUCCCACACCUUGACUGCAAAAUCCGGGACACGAUCUCGCGAGAGAACGGCGGCCAUUUUGGAGGCCGUGAUCUCGCAAAAUUUUGCGCUGCGAUUUCUCCCUGGAAAAGCAUGGGGGGGCAUGGCACCCAUGAAUGUGCAUUUUGGGGUGCCGUGAGAGAUCGCACCACUUUUUUAAAAAAAGUUUUUUCAUGGGGAAACAGUGAUGUGAAAUCAUGCGAGAUCGCAACGUCCAAAAUGGCCACUGUUCUCUCGUGAGGAAAAAAAAAAGGGAUGUCCUGUUUUUUCCAGGACACUCGUAGGGUAUGAGGUUGGUAUUUUCAUAUAAAAAGAACAACAGACUGCUAUGGGAGAGAAUAAGAGAGAGAGAGAAAGGGAACUCAGAGGUGGUCAAUAUUGUUUUGCUGGAGGGCCGCAGUCUCCCUUGAUGAACCUUCCAGGGGGCCAAUGUCAGCAGUGAAUGUGGCUACUGGUACUCUUUCACUACACAUAUACUGUGCAGAUCAGCUAAGGAGGAACUUUUAAUGCCCCCUCUUCACUUGAAAAAUUGAUAACUAGGGUGGGAGCAAUUGACUCCCCCAGGCAAGUGCUGUGCCUACUUAAAUUUAAUUUAUGUUUAAACCUCUGCCAAAAUUGGUAGGGUUCCGGAGGUCCAGAAAAAAAAUUGUUUGGGGUGGCGAGGCUUGAUUAGGCUCUGGGCUGGGCUGGGGAAUGGAGAGGUUGAAACCAAAACAACUAGCAGGGUAGGGCUAGCUUCCUGGCAGAUGCAAUAAAAUAAAGCAAACUGAGAUAAAUCAGAAUAAAACCAACCUAAUUGACCUUGCAGGGACGCGGGUGGCGCUGUGGGUAAAACCUCAGCACCUAGGACUUGCUGAUCGCAUGGUCGGCGGUUCGAAUCCCCGCGGCGGGGUGGGCUCCCGCUGCUCGGUCCCAGCGCCUGCCAACCUAGCAGUUCGAAAGCACCCCCGGGUGCAAGUAGAUAAAUAGGGACCGCUUACUAGCGGGAAGGUAAACGGCGUUCCGUGUGCUGCUCUGGUGCCGCUUCGCCAGAGCAGCUUCGUCACGCUGGCCACGUGACCCGGAAGUGUCUGCGGGCAGCGCUGGCUCCCAGCCUAUAGAGUGAGAUGAGCGCACAACCCUAGAGUCUGUCAAGACUGGCCCGUACGGGCAGGGGUACCUUUACCUUUACCUUUUAAUUGACCUUGCGGGCCUUAAUAAUAUAAUAUAGGGAUAUAUGAUAGUUCACAGCUCAAUGACUAACUCACCCAAUAUCCCAGGUUCAGUUAAUCUCAGGUAACAGGAUUGGGGGGGGGUGGCAUCUAAAAUGACAUAUUAGACCACUCCUACCAACAGUAGCUGUUAAUGAGUCAGAUGGAUCAAUGGGUAGAGUCAGUAUAAGGCCAUUCCCUAUCUUAGGAGUUCUGUACCUUCCAGGAACAGCUACUGUUAUUUAAAGCUGUUCCUAAGGGUUCUCCCUAAGGAUGAUGGAGGAAUCCAUUUUACAUGGAUUUAUAUACAAUAUUUGGCAGUUCCAAACCAACUGAGAUUUGCAAGAUCCAUCUUAUAUCCAAGCUGCUUGCGCAUUGUGUGUUUUCUAAAAAAGCCCAACUUAUAAUAUGCAAAAUUCUUUAUGUAUACAGUGUGUGUGUGUAAUAAGAGUCAAGCUUCAUGCUGUACUAUAUUUCUACAGCACAACUGGUAAGUUACUCAUGCACAAAUAUUUUUUCUACAGUUAUAGGCAUUGCUGUACAUAUCUGUUUAUGAGCUGGUUACUUAAGGAAACCUGGAAUGUAUAUAUCUGCAUAAUGUGUAUGCAAUAUUAUAUGAAUGACAAUGUGAGAGUUGCUUGCAUUUUUAGUGGAACUGGGAAAUAUCUUGCUUCUUGUUGAAAUCAAGGGGCGAGAUGGAAAACAGAAAAAAAAUCAAUGUGGAUAAGCUUGAAACUGAGACUUUCAUAAAACCCCAUCCCUUCUUCUUCCUUAAAACCGGAUCAAAACUAUACAGUAUCUAAAUUACUUACAUCCAGUCCAGAGGAUGACAUUGUCUGUUGGCUUCUUCCUCCUCAAUCUCAGUGUUACCCUCAUAGAACUCUGCAGGGAGGAAGAAGGGGCAAAACUAGGAUUGGUCAGCUUUGCCUGUCAUUGGCGGUAGCGCCACCUACUGUUCACCUCCUUGCCUUCCACCCUACCACUCCCUGCCUUCCACUCUACCAAUCCCAGUGGUCACUAGGCACCAGCUCUAAACAAAACUGCCUUGUGAUAAAGUCACCACAGUUGUUGUUGGGGUUUUUUUAAAGACCAGGUGCUCAUCAUGGUGUAGCUGCUGCCAGAAAGCCAAAUCAUGUAGGUUGCCCAUUUUGUUGGAGUCAACAGGAACCAUUCCAUGCUUCCUCCAUCCCUGGUAAUGUUUGGAUACGGUUGAUCCCAAAUCACGUGGGCAGCCCUUCCUGCCCAUGCCUGAGUGCUCAUGUAAUUCAUCUCAGUAGCAACCACAUCAUCAGAACAACAUAGGAACUAACCCUGAACAUCUGGGUGGGUUUUUGGAAGAACGCAGUGUGCUUGGCAUAAUAUAUAUACACCCCAGAGAGAUCUCAGGUCAAUGCACCAUUGAAAGGAUCUCGGUGUGGCACGACCCCAUUCAGGAGACUACUUAGCAGAAUGAUUAAUCCAGUCCUGACAUCUGAAUGCAAAGAAAGCCCCAUAGGAUAUGCUGUUGCUGCUAACCCUGAGAGAUGGCUCAGAGUUAAUUCCAGUCUUCAGGUAUGCAUGUAGAACCUCCCCACAGGAGUGUUAAACAUGCACAGUCAUGAUCCAGCUAAUUUGGCAAUUACAAGAUGACAUUGGGUGCUGGGUUAAUGAAUCACUUGGUAUCUUCCUUUCUCAGAGAUUCCUCUCUAGCCUGGUACAUUUUGUGUGCAAUCAUUAUGACAGAGCUCAAACCUGAAGAAGAACCCAGGUGUGCGUGGGCACGACUCUACAUAUUAGGCCAGGGACAACUUGCCACCAAAGCUAAGUGUUUUAGCGAAACACAAGAGAAUGUAGAUUGGAGCUAAAUGAACUAGUGGAACUUUUGACUGAGUUCCCAGACAAUAUCUAUAUAGCUGACCUUUCAAAGAGUCACAGGGAUUUGGUUCACCUUUUCGUUUGUUUCGUUUUAGGCAUGACUAUGCUACAGGUUUAUCACAUUCCAUGAAGUUUGUGUGUAUCCUGGCUCUGCAAAAUGCAAUCCAUCCUGAGCAAGCGCAGAGUGAUGCUUUGAAUCGAUGGGCCAGGAGUAGCUGGAGUCAAGCAGCAGGAGUCAGAUGACCAACAAGAAGACAGCAAGCAGCAGGUUGCAGACAAUUAGCAAAAGAAC